CUCAUACAGAGAUUAGCAUGACUCCUGUGCAAGGAUGACACACAAAUUCAUGCAUUCCAGAUUUAU
rnacentral:snRNA from 1 species